AUUGAACGCUGGCGGCAGGCUUAACACAUGCAAGUCGAGCGGAGAUGAGGUGCUUGCACCUUAUCUUAGCGGCGGACGGGUGAGUAAUGCUUAGGAAUCUGCCUAUUAGUGGGGGACAACAUUCCGAAAGGAAUGCUAAUACCGCAUACGUCCUACGGGAGAAAGCAGGGGAUCUUCGGACCUUGCGCUAAUAGAUGAGCCUAAGUCGGAUUAGCUAGUUGGUGGGGUAAAGGCCUACCAAGGCGACGAUCUGUAGCGGGUCUGAGAGGAUGAUCCGACACACUGGGACUGAGACACGGCCCAGACUCCUACGGGAGGCAGCAGUGGGGAAUAUUGGACAAUGGGCGGAAGCCUGAUCCAGCCAUGCCGCGUGUGUGAAGAAGGCCUUUUGGUUGUAAAGCACUUUAAGCGAGGAGGAGGCUACCUAGAUUAAUACUCUGGGAUAGUGGACGUUACUCGCAGAAUAAGCACCGGCUAACUCUGUGCCAGCCGCCGCAGUAAAAC
rnacentral:rRNA from 1 species